GAGACGGAGAAAGAUUGAAAGGGGCCGCGAGAGAGGUUUUAGAACAUGCACACGUUCCCUGGGGUAGGCAGCAGUUUCAAAGUCUCAUUUAAGGUCAAAGGGGUCACAGCGGGGGUCAGUAGUCGGGCGGCAGAACGCGUGGCUAGGUGUCCUCCUGUCACCGUGUGUCACUCCACAGCCAGAUGGAUGGGCGGGUGGAGGAUCGGGGUGUGCUCCUGGGUCCUGCUGCCCCUCCCCCCUCCCGUCCUGAGCUGUUCAUGUUUCAGUCGCUGCAGGGGUGGGUCAAAGGGGCCUCUGAGACAGCAAAUAGGCAGCCAAGUGGCUGGUGGCCCCUAAUAUGUCUAUAGAUGCUGAGGGAGGGGCUAAAGAUGACAGGCUGGAAGGGUCAGCAGGUGACAAUGUGUGUAGAGAGAGAGAGAGAGAGAGAGAGAGAGAGAGAGAGAGAUAAAGAUUAGAAGGGAGGUCAAAGGUUUCCUGGUGUAAGCUUUCAGUAUCAUAUGGGGGUCAUACACCUCUACUGGAAAGGGUUAACUAGGCUCUUUGAAAUGUCAUAUGUUCUAUAUGAUCUUCCCAGUAACACAAGAUCUGUCUUUGGUUUUAUCUUCUGUUAUCCUGUUGAAUUAAACGAACACACACAACAGAAUAAUACUGUUUUAUAUUGAGUACUGUUAAAGCAUUCAGUGUUUUUAUUUAACUCAGGCACAAUUGAUAUACUGUUGAAUGGUUUGGUAUGUGAUAUGAUAUUGUAUACUGAUUAUCUGAGACUGUAUGCUAUAGUUCUCGCCCUGAUGGUCAGCUUGCUCGUUCAAACCCAGAUACUAACCCCUCCCAACCCUCUUUCUUCAAUGGUGGUCUGGCAACCUCUCACUCCAUUAUGGGUUUUGUUUGUUUAGUUUUGUUGCACUUUUCUUUUUGAAUAAAAGCCAUGUUUUCCUUUA